GAAAUCAAGACCAAAUCGAGCAAGAAGAGGACUUAGAAGAAGAAGAAGCCGUCUCACUAGAAGAAGAUUCGAUGGUUGAUAC
rnacentral:sRNA from 1 species